UGUGUGUGCGUGCGUGUGUGAUGUGUAUGGAAUGUUAACAUUCUGCUCAUUUUCUCCACCCUACUUAAUUCUUCAUAUUUCUGUCCCACCCAGAAUCCCUCAGGAGACAGUUUAUGAAUCAGUUUGGCCUGGACUGACCCCAUCACUAGAGAGCAAAAGCAAAACCACAACCAAAAUAUUCACUCAAUGGACUGAAGAAAGGGUGAGACAGAGCCUGAGACACCAGAGGAACAGGACAAAGAAAGACCAGAAAGAGCAGCAGGGAUAGAAGAAAAUGAGUUUGAAUCUUCCAGAGUUCCAUGCUAUGGUUCAAAAAAGAUCAAGAGCCUAAAAAUCUGGGGAGAACUAGAUCCAGUCUUCAUGGAUGUGAAUGGGUAACAAUGGACCAAAACCUAUCAAGAAGGAAAGAGCAAAACCUUGACUGUUCAUGCACACCAAACGUUCUCCAAGUAUUACUCUAACAGUGCCCUAAGGAUUGUCUGCUAAGUCCAUGCCUGUGUAGCAUUUGUGUUUUAAUAUAUCACUGCUUUUUUCUGAUGGUAAUACAUUUGUUAUGUAUCUACCA